CAGUAGUCACGAGUUUGAUCCUGGCUCAGGAUGAACGCUAGCGGCAUGCCUAACACAUGCAAGUCGAACGAGACCUUCGGGUCUAGUGGCGCACGGGUGCGUAACACGUGGGAAUUUGCCUCGGGGUAUGGAAUAACUCAGGGAAACUUGAGCUAAUACCAUAUAAUGUCUUCGGACCAAAGAUUUAUCGCCCUGAGAUAAGCCCGCGUAGGAUUAGCUAGUUGGUGAGGUAAAGGCUCACCAAGGCGACGAUCCUUAGCUGGUCUGAGAGGAUGAUCAGCCACACUGGGACUGAGACACGGCCCAGACUCCUACGGGAGGCAGCAGUGGGGGAAUAUUGGACAAUGGGCGAAAGCCUGAUCCAGCAAUGCCGCGUGAGUGAUGAAGGCCUUCGGGUUGUAAAGCUCUUUUACUCGGGACGAUAAUGACGGUACCGAGAGAAUAAGCCCCGGCUAACUCCGUG
rnacentral:rRNA from 1 species